GAAAUGCGAUAAGUAAUGUGAAUUGCAGAAUUCAGUGAAUCAUCGAAUCUUUGAACGCACAUUGCGCCCGCCAGUAUUCUGGCGGGCAUUCCUGUUCGAGCGUCAUUUCAACCAUCAAGCCCCCGGCUUGUGUUGGGGACCUGCGGCUGCCCGCAGGCCCUGAAAAACAGUGGCGGGCUCGCUGUCACACCGAGCGUAGUAGCAUACAUUCUCGCUCAGGGCGUGCUGCGGGUUCCGGCCGUUAAACGACCUUCAUAACCCAAGGUUGACCUCGGAUCAGGUAGGAAGACCCGCUGAACUUAAGC
rnacentral:misc_RNA from 1 species